GAGGGAAGUACCAUAAACAGUCUUCCACAUCCCCAUCGUCGUUGCCUGGGAGGCAAAUUUUGACUUUAAGGACAAAAGGCCUCAUGGGCUCACUCCUCAGCUGUGCCAAGAGAGAAGAGAAGGGAGAGAAAAAGGGAGAGAAGCAUCCAUGUGCGAGAGAAACAUCAAUCAGUUGCCUAUCAUUCGUGCCCCAGCUGGGGACCGAACUUGAAACCCAGGUGUAACCACUUACUCAACCAUAUAUAGCCCCGCGGAUGGGUGCCUCGUCUCACAUUCAGUUCGUGUUUGACGAUUAAAUAUCGCACGGCCGUGGUGAGCAUCUCUUGUGUGUUCCAAUUCUUGAAGUCGAGUGGACGGGUCAAAGAGCACGCAUUUCUAAACUACCAACGGAUAAGGCCAGCCUGUCCUCCAAAGAUAUUUGAACUAAUAUCACUACCAAGAAACUGAACACAGCCUUUCUGCACAGCCUCGCAGGUGUGCCCUGCUCUGUGCCAGUCUGAACAAGUGGGUUCUCACUCGUUUGAAUUCACAGUGUUUUAAUUAGAAAGAAUGAACCAUCUUCUCAACAACUUAAUGGCCUUUUCCUUUUGUACAGUGAAUUUUCUGUUCACCCUGUUGCCUGUUUUUCUUUUAGGGUGAUUUUAUUUCUCUUCACAUAGGACAGACCCUUUGUAACACACGUUUUCUGUUCAUCUGCCAUUUACCUUUUCACCAUUUUACAGUGUCUUUCACCAUUUCAGUGUCUUCUGCCAGCCAUUCGUUUAAAUUUUUGCAUAGUCCAAUCAGUAAAAUAUUUGCCUUCACAGCUUUUGAGCGUGUGGUUCUGCUUAGAACCCCCCAGGGAAUCCAAAUCUAAUUUAAUUUUUAUGUUUAAAUGCUGAGUGCAUUUGGAAUCAGUUUUGAGUAUGGUGUUGCGAGGAGUCACCUUCGGGUUUUUCUUGGUGGACAGUCUGUGUCCGACCUCGAGUUCUUGAAAUUCUAUUGGCCUGAAAUGCCAUCAGAAGACCUGUUUCGGCCCCAUUUUCUCUGCUUGCAUCUACUUGUUUGUUCCAGCGCUGGCCUCGGGCGGCCUCGACUACUGUUGCUGGGUGAGAUGUUUUGAAUUUGGGAGGACAGGUCUCCUCUGUCUCCGCUGUUCUUCUGUGCGAGCGGUUCCUCCGACCAGUUUGGCGUUUUCGUUUCUGACUGUGUUCCUAAUGACCAUCUUAGUUUCCAGUUCUAUCCAUCCCACUCUGGCUCAUCUGUGGAAUUUUUUGCUUUGCCACCACUUUUUAAAUUUUCAACAACUCUCUAUUGUUCUCUAGCCCUCCCCCCCCCCCCGCCCCCGCAGUGGCAGGCUCUGUACUUACUGACGCCGCAGCCUCUGCAGCCAGCCAACUCCAGAGGUGUUUGGUGGGGGGGGGAGUCUUUUCUGUGCCGGCCUUAACUCUGCCCCUCGGGAGCCCUGGCUUUGCUUGCUCUGCUCAGCCCCUCAGUCAAACUGCUGCAAGAUUUACAAAAGGACUGGACGCACAAGUACUAGCCAUUGGGCAGAUUUCCCAAACUGUUAAGGUUACUGAUGUCCUCAGACAGGCCAGAUAAGAUGGCGAUUCCAGGGCCCACUCGAGUGGGCUUGCCCGGGGCCAGAGUGCGGCGCCUGUUCCCUGGACUUCCCUUCUGGCUGACCGGCCGGGGUUCUCCCUUGAAUGAGGAAAUGGGGAAGGACUCAGCUUGGUGGGGGAGUGUUUUAGGGGGUUUUGCCUGUGCCCUGAGCAGCCCAGUCCUUUUGUCCUUCAUGCCCCUGUGGUGGUGGGAAGUCCCCGGGGGCUCUGCUCUGCUCCCUGGUGAGUCUUCUGGAUUCCACCCCCGGUUGUCAACAAUCCUCCUGUAACCUCCCUGGCUGUCCCACGGCGUAUUUUGCUCCCUGCCUCUGGUGACCCUUGUGUUUUCAGUUUUUGUUUUUCCUGGAGCUCUCUGGGGAGAGCUGGUCCACUCGGUCUCCAGCUGAGCUGUGUCCGCCCACGCUGGCGCUCAGGCGUCCAGACUCGCCCGAGUGUCUAUGCAGGGAUGCCAUCUGCUUUACGUCUUCUAGAAAUGUGAAGUUCCCGAGGUUUCUGGUCCCCUGACAACACCUCUCCCUACGUCCACAGCUGCAUUUGUCUUUGUAAGAUGCCUCCCGCUGUUUUCAUGGGGUCUGGGGUGAGGAGGAGGCAUGGACUGGAUAGUCAGCCUGACACGCUGAACCGGAAGUGAAAGUCGACCACUCUGACGACUGGGUGGCACAGAUGAGCAGCCCGGAGCGCACAGAGAAGUGACGUGCCCCCAACGACAGAGCUCCUCAGAACCAGGGCAAGAAGCGGGCCCAUCCCGGCCACCAGAUGGUACGGCUUCCUCGACCCAAAAUGAACACUGCUGGUUUGACUUUGCCAGAGACCGUGGA